rnacentral:rRNA from 1 species
AGUCUGCAACCCGAACUCCGUGAAGCUGGAUUCGCUAGUAAUCGCGCAUCAGCCAUGGCGCGGUGAAUACGUUCCCGGGCCUUGUACACACCGCCCGUCAAGCCAUGGAAGCCGGGGGUGCCUGAAGUGCGCUGCCGCGAGGAGCGCCCUAGGGUAAAACCGGUGACUGGGGCUAAGUCGUAACAAGGUAUC